rnacentral:rRNA from 1 species
AAACGAUUGAAGCCAGUCGUACCGACGGGAAAUCAACUUCUUGAGCGCUUGUCGUGGGUGACGUGGAGCUUCACGGCCUUCGUUGCUUUGCGUUAUGGUGCUUUUUGGGUGUACUUUUCCGUAUGGUAGGUCAAUAUCGAUUUUAGUCG